rnacentral:rRNA from 1 species
GAAUAGCUCGUAGGUGACCUGCGGAGGAUCAUUAAUUAUUCAUCGGAAGUGAGACCAGGUGGGCGGUGGAGGCGUGGGCAACCAUGCUUACCACCAGCCCCUUCACUCUUCAUGAACAUCCCUUCUGUGCAUCAAACCUCUGUUGCUUCCCGCAUGGCGUGGCCUGGCAGGGCUACACUGCGGGGAGGAUAACAUAAACUCUGGUUGUUGUAUCGUUAGUCUGAGUGGUAAACACAUUAAACAAGUUAAAACUUUCAACAACGGAUCUCUUGGUUCUCGCAUCGAUGAAGAACGCAGCGAAAUGCGAUAAGUAGUGUGAAUUGCAGAAUUCAGUGAAUCAUCGAAUCUUUGAACGCACAUUGCGCCUUCUGGUAUUCCGGGAGGCAUGCCUGUCCGAGCGUCAUCAAACACAUCCUCAAGCACUCUUGCUUGGUAUUGGAGGAAGAUGUCUGCAUCUCCUCUCAAAUCCCUCAGCGGAAACUACUGCAGUCUCAGGUGUCAUAAGAUUACCUUUCGCUUGAUAACUGCCGGUAGGUUCUUGCUGUGAAGAGCCCCUCAGCUAUUCUUUUAAGUUUGACCUCGAAUCAGGUAGGGAUACCCGCUGAACUUAAGACAGGGG